rnacentral:lncRNA from 1 species
CAUGCAUCACUCAUUCAUGGAACGUUCUUGCUGGCUAGUUGGUUCAUACUUGAAGGAAGGUUAAAACUGCGCGAGAAAAACGAGGACAAGCGGAAGGAACACACAAAACACCACGAGCGCA